rnacentral:rRNA from 1 species
GAUGAACGCUGGCGGCGUGCCUAAUACAUGCAAGUCGAGCGAACAGACGAGAGUGCUUGCACUCUCUGACGUUAGCGGCGGACGGGUGAGUAACACGUGGGUAACCUAUCUAUAAGACUGGGAUAACUUCGGGAAACCGGAGCUAAUACCGGAUAAUAUUUAGCUUCGCAUGAAGCAAUAGUGAAAGACGGUUCUGCUGUCACUUAUAGAUGGACCCGCGGGGUAUUCGCUAGUUGGUGAGGUAACGGCUCACCAAGGCAACGAUACAUAGCCGACCUGAGAGGGUGAUCGGCCACACUGGGACUGAGACACGGCCCAGACUCCUACGGGAGGCAGCAGUAGGGAAUCUUCCGCAAUGGACGAAAGUCUGACGGAGCAAUGCCGCGUGAGUGAAGAAGGUUUUCGGAUCGUAAAACUCUGUUGUAAGGGAAGAACAAGUACGUUAGUAACUGAACGUACCUUGACGGUACCUUACCAGAAAGCCACGGCUAACUACGUG